rnacentral:lncRNA from 1 species
GAUACUUGAAUGGCAAUUGACCUUGCUCAUAGCCAAGGUGGUCGAGGAUUUGUUUCUGUAUAGCAAGUGCUACCCCUCCAAAAGAGACUGAGCUCUUGUUCAGAUUAGCCUGCAGUCCUGAAGUUUCAGAGAAUUGGGAGAAACAUUUGGAUAGAGCCAUGACAGAGGCAGUGUCUCCUUUGGCAAACAGCAGCAGAUCAUCAGCAAAGCACAUAU